CACGAGAUGCGCUCAUUGUUCCACAUCUGCAGGGUUAAGAAAAAUCAAGAGACAAGAGUGACAGAAAACAACAGGUGUCAGGAGUCACAGCACCCUGGCGAUGCGAAGCAGUUGGGGCACACCUAGAACAGUCCGCCGCAGUCGACAGUCGCAAACCAGUCAUUGCUGGUUGACAUAAAACGCAUCAGUAAUGGUGCGCCAGUGCGGAGAAGCUGCUGUGAGACCCGAGACAGGCACUGUGAUGCUGCCCUGUGACCUGAGCUGAGGAGGGCUGGGCAGAAUGAAUGACCAG